rnacentral:rRNA from 1 species
UACGGGGGGGGCAAGCGUUGUUCGGAAUUACUGGGCGUAAAGGGCUCGUAGGCGGCCAACUAAGUCAGACGUGAAAUCCCUCGGCUUAACCGGGGAACUGCGUCUGAUACUGGAUGGCUUGAAUUCGGGAGAGGGAUGCAGAAUUCCAGGUGUAGCGGUGAAAUGCGUAGAUAUCUGGAGGAAUACCGGUGGCGAAGGCGGCAUCCUGGACCGACAUUGACGCUGAAAGCCGAAAGCUAGGGGAGCAAACGGG